GAUGAACGCUGGCGGCGUGCCUAAUACAUGCCAGUCGAGCGAACAGACGAGGAGCUUGCUCCUCUGACGUUAGCGGCGGACGGGUGAGUAACACGUGGAUAACCUACCUAUAAGACUGGGAUAACUUCGGGAAACCGGAGCUAAUACCGGAUAAUAUAUUGAACCGCAUGGUUCAAUAGUGAAAGACGGUUUUGCUGUCACUUAUAGAUGGAUCCGCGCCGCAUUAGCUAGUUGGUAAGGUAACGGCUUACCAAGGCAACGAUGCGUAGCCGACCUGAGAGGGUGAUCGGCCACACUGGAACUGAGACACGGUCCAGACUCCUACGGGAGGCAGCAGUAGGGAAUCUUCCGCAAUGGGCGAAAGCUUGACGGAGCAACGCCGCGUGAGUGAUGAAGGUCUUCGGAUCGUAAACCUCUGUUAUUAGGGAAGAACAAAUGUGUAAGUAACUAUGCACGUCUUGACGGUACCUAAUCAGAAAGCCACGGCUAACUACGUG
rnacentral:rRNA from 1 species